CUAGUCUCAAAACAAUGGCUACUCUGGAAGAGAAGAGCCUUCACCUUCUUCCCCUACCCCAGUUUUUACUGGUUAACAUCAUGUUAUAUGGCAUAGAAUAUCCCUUUGGACAAUUUGGGUCAUCUGUCCCUCUGUGUUACCUCCCAGCUUCAUGCCCGCCCUCAGCCCACUCACAUUUGUGAGAGCGGGGAAAAAAGAGAAAGCCUUGACACAAUGCAAAUACUGUUAAACCAUAGCCAAACUGUUAAUGUCUUGCCAAUGCUGUUUUAGUCACAAAUCCAGAAUCCAGCACUGUAGAGGCUGCUAUGAGGAAGGUGAACUCUAUCCCAGACAGACCCAGCACAUCAGGAAAGAGAUGAAAAUAGCCAGAAGCCACUAGAGCUGGAAGGCCCAGAAUGAUUAGGCUGAAGCCAAAUAAAUUACUCCCCCACAAAAACAAACACCUUCUCAAACAAUAGAAGGUAGUAUACAGCCUUCAGAGAAUGAGCAGAACAGCGAGGGCAGGCAUAGAUCCUCAAUUCCCAUCCAGCAGGCCUGCAUGCAUUUUGGAGGAGCCUCCACCCAGUACUGUGGGAACCCAGUGAAGUGGUUUUUGUUUUGAUGGGCAAGAUUUUUGAUGGCUUUCUGAUAGUCAAUUGUCAUGGUUUAUUCUGGAUAGAGUUCUGAGUAAGGGGGACUAAAAUAUUGUGUUUGUCUUACCUCUGAGAGCAGGGAAGGCAUAGCUCCUCACAGGGCACUGCACCUUCCCUCUGCAGACAGAGGUACCCUAUGCUUUCCUGGGAUGUUCACACUGCCUCUCAUGCUCGCAGACAGCUCUUUUCCAUGCCUACAGCUAUUCCUGGCUCCACCACUCUGUGGUUUUCCACAGCCUCUGAAUGCCUGAUUAUAUUCACUGACUUCACACAAGCUGAGCUCUGCAAGGGUUUCUGGAAAAGAGCAGUUAUUUUAUGUCUUCAUACUUCCCUGUACAAAGAGAGCAGCACGUUAUCCUAAAGAAAUAUACUACAGAGAGAUGAGUUUGCCCUUUAAAUAGUCAAUGUGCUGUUUUGGCUGUAUCUGAAGAUCAACACUUACAGAGAAUAGAUGUGUAAAUCGCUUUUAGUUCUUCAGAGGUUGCUUUCAGAAAAUGAUUUACUACUCCAGAUGCCUAAAUAGUAAAAGAUAUUGACUGACUGGAGAGAGUUAAGAGCAGAAUAGUAAAAAUGAUCACUUAGCACAGAUGUUUUGAUUU
ensembl:lncRNA